GACGAACGCUGGCGGCGUGCUUAACACAUGCAAGUCGAGCGGAAAGGCCCUUCGGGGUACUCGAGCGGCGAACGGGUGAGUAACACGUGAGUAACCUGCCCCAGACUUUGGGAUAACCCUCGGAAACGGGGGCUAAUACCGGAUACGACACAGCUUCGCAUAGGGUCUGUGUGGAAAGUUUUUCGGUUUGGGAUGGGCUCGCGGCCUAUCAGCUUGUUGGUGGGGUGAUGGCCUACCAAGGCGACGACGGGUAGCCGGCCUGAGAGGGCGACCGGCCACACUGGGACUGAGACACGGCCCAGACUCCUACGGGAGGCAGCAGUGGGGAAUAUUGCACAAUGGGCGGAAGCCUGAUGCAGCGACGCCGCGUGAGGGAUGACGGCCUUCGGGUUGUAAACCUCUUUCAGCAGGGACGAAGCGUAAGUGACGGUACCUGCAGAAGAAGCGCCGGCCAACUACGUG
rnacentral:rRNA from 1 species